rnacentral:rRNA from 1 species
AGUCGACGCGGGCACUUGUGCCCGAGUGGCGAACGGGUGAGUAAUACAUAAGUAACCUGGCCUUUACAGGGGGAUAACUGCUGGAAACGGCAGCUAAGACCGCAUAGGUAGGGACACUGCAUGGUGACCGUAUUAAAAGUGCUGCAAGGCACUGGUAGAGGAUGGACUUAUGGCGCAUUAGCUGGUUGGUGAGGUAACGGCUCACCAAGGCGACGAUGCGUAGCCGACCUGAGAGGGUGACCGGCCACACUGGGACUGAGACACGGCCCAGACUCCUACGGGAGGCAGCAGUAGGGAAUUUUCGGCAAUGGGGGGAACCCUGACCGAGCAACGCCGCGUGAAGGAAGAAGGAAUUCGUUCUGUAAACUUCUGUUAUAAAGGAAGAAAGACGGAUGGAGGAAAUGACAUCCGAGUGACGGUACUUUAUGAGAAAGCCACGGCUAACUACGUGCCAGCAGCCGCGGUAAUACGUAGGUGGCAAGCGUUAUCCGGAAUUAUUGGGCGUAAAGAGGGAGCAGGCGGCAGCAAAGGUCUGUGGUGAAAGACUGAAGCUUAACUUCAGUAAGCCAUAGAAACCGGGCAGCUAGAGUGCAGGAGAGGAUCGUGGAAUUCCAUGUGUAGCGGUGAAAUGCGUAGAUAUAUGGAGGAACACCAGUGGCGAAGGCGACGAUCUGGCCUGCAACUGACGCUCAGUCCCGAAAGCGUGGGGAGCAAAUAGGAUUAGAUACCCUAGUAGUCCACGCCGUAAACGAUGAGUACUAAGUGUUGGAAGUCAAAUUUCAGUGCUGC